GGGAGUCGCGGGACUGGCUGCUGCUGAGACAGAAACUUAACUUAAUGGAUAAUAAGAGUAAAAAAACGCCCGGGUGGCGCUGAGAAGCAUCGGGAAAAAAAGCAGAAGUCUCUGGAGGUGGAGGCUGCUAAAUGUGCCAAACUGACGGACCUAUGUGGUGCCGGGUUCACCAGCCCAGCAGCAGCAGGUGCGCCGGGAGACGAGCGAGGAGGACUCGACAAUGAUGAGCGAGUGGAGGCAGACAUCCUGGUCCCUGUUUCCUGCUCACCUCCUGAAAACUCCCUCCACUCCAGUGAUGCCCAUCCCGUCCACGAUGUCUCUGGUGAGUCUGAAGGGGACGGUCUCUGGUGUGGGGAGGAUCUUCCCCUGCUCAAAGGCCACACCUGCACGUAGCAAGCACGACAUGUAUCAAUAUACUCACAGAAUGAUGAUCAGCUGUUUAAAUCCAAUAUGAACUUUGAUCUCCUGAUGUAGAACAGCUCUCCUGUGAGGCCUGUGUUGCUUGAUCACAGACACAUUCAGCCACUGUUUACACAGCAUUGACUUUGUCAAACCAAAGGUCGAGUAUUUUCUGUUUAUAUAAAUGAGAGAAAAUAACCUAAAUCGAUGUGAACCAGUUCAGCCGUCUGCUCGUCGAUCAGGAUGUUGUUGUUGUGUCUGUCGCCCAGACCCACAAAGUAGCCAACUGCAGGAGCAACAGAGAGAAGUCGUUCAAAACUGGAGAUAUACACAAUUUCAAGCCCCUAUGAUGAAUAUUCAUAAUUUUUUUUUGCUUACCAGCAUAAUUUACACCUCUUUUGCACCAAAAUUAGCAAAAUAAAGGUUUAUUUAAACUUGCUUAAAAAAGGAUAUUUACUCCUUUCCCAUUGCCUGUAGAGGUCUUUGCCUUCGUGUUUUUUCCCUAGGGUAUCGAGUUUGAUGUCAUGAAUGCAGCGAAAACUGAGGCACUCUCUCACUUCACUGUCUUUUAGAAUAAGCUUGUUCACCCGCGUUUCUCGUUUCCAUCACUGCUGACUGAGGCCAGAGCCGAUAAAAACCUGUGUCUACCGCAAUGUAAUCCUACCUGAGUGUAAAUGCAGAUUCUAUUCCCAUAGCAGAAUUAAGCCAGAUGUUUUUUUGACCAAUGGAAAAUGGGUCUUAAGUCAUAAGUUAUGGUCAAAUUUGUUAUGGUUUUAAAUUCAGUGUAAGUUAUGAUAACUUACACUGAAUUUAAAACCAUAACAAAUUUUCCAUUUGUCUGUACUAUGUUUGAGAACAUGGCUUAAGAAACAGCCUGGUGCAAAAUGAAGUUUAAAUUUCCGACUUACGGGAGAAAAAAUGCUUAUUCCAGUCAAAUCAUAUCAGACUUCAUUUAUAUGGUGCUUUUUGUGCAACGUUGCAAUACAAGGUGAUUAACAUAUUGUUCUUAUUGUCUGACUCAGCAGACCUGCCUCCACAUUUCUACUGCUUCAACAAACAUCCUUCCUCAGGCUGUGAAACCCAAGAUUUCAUUUCAACCCAAUCAUAUCAGGAUAGGACUGACACACUGUGAUAUGCAUUUGCGUGUAACAUAUUGCAUUCACAGCACAUGCACGGAGGUGAGCACAUUGUACCUAUAGAGGAGGUCGCCACGCUGCGGGUGUAAGCCAGACGUUUCUCCAUCCAAUCCGCUGGAUCCAGGAAUCGUUCCAUGCAGAAAUACCUGAAGACCGGCCUGAAGUUCUUGCACACCUCAGUGUAGGCCUGGAGCUUGUCAUCGAAUCCGAGUCUCUGAGCAGCCUGCGGGGCCACGACAGUAUUUUUAGUUUUGCUUUCAAUCAUAAAAAUGUUUCACUUCACAUUUUGCAGAUGUACAGACACCUGUGGUUUCCUAGAAACUAAUUCAGUAAGUAACAUUGAAUUAAAUAUCACUGAGUCAGUACCGACAUCCUCUCGCGGCACUUUAAGUUUGUCAAGUCUUGGGGUCGGAAGCGUUUGUGGGCUCCUUUAUUAGGAUCCACCAGAAACUCCGCGAUGGGAACUGUGCCUGAGCACCACUCUAACACGCCACUGCACUGCGAGAACGGCACCACCUGAGAAUUCAGUACAAAUGGAAUUCAAUUUAAUAUUAACAUUGCAAUAUUAAUAUGCAUUAGAUUCUGGUUUAUUCUUCUCUUUGAAUGUCAAAUAAAGGUUUAAAGUGGAACCUUG